CGCCGAGACCUGAUGUAACACUUGUGUGAUUCUCCCCUUUGAAACUUCAAACUCCAGUUUGUGAACAAAGUCCUAUAUCUUCUGAAUAGGAAUCUCCGACCACUGGCCAAACUCCAUUUGCAACCACUACCUAUUUGUACCUUCUCCUCAAUGAUUACAUUUCAUUUCCCCAAGUCCGAUCUCAAAGGCAGGACACAGGGAAGCAACAUAAGUAAGAAAAAAACCCCAAAAAAAACAGGAACCAGCAGAUGGGAGGAAAAGAGGAUUAUGGUGGCCCAGUGGAGGAGUCAAUAAGAUAUGGAAUAUGCGCUGUCUGGGGACUUAUUUGGUUUCUUUCUGAGAAAGCUGCAGCAUAUGGGGAAAUGUGAGUGUUUGUGCAGCACCAUCCAGGAGCGUGUUGAUGUUGAUAAGAGUAAAACAGAAGGAGACAAUUUGUUGGCUGCAGCAGGUUUGAGGCUGCCGCUCUGCUCUGCUGCAGUAGAUGGAGGAGAUAGGUUUCUGUUACCUGUACCUGGGUCGAUGAAGUGCAGCGUCCCAUCCUGGCCAUACAUCCCUCUGAAGGCCGAGCCCUGACAGUGAGCCGGCCAGCUGAGCGAAGGCCCAUGAGCCUCAGCGGCUCUCUCAGGCCCGGCCAGGCUGAGGCAGGCUGGGAGGAGAAGCAGGGCCAAUGUUACUGGAUGGUGCUGUUUGCCGGGGCCACCGGGCUGGCUUGUAAGGGCCCACAGCACCCAGGGAUAAUCCCCCUAAUGCCUGUCACAAUGAGAUUUGAUUGGAGACUUGAACACCCGGAUUAAAAGUGUCAAGUAAUACCUACCCUCCAAACAUGCUGCUAAUUGGGCUAAACACCGGAGAGGCACUUCUAGAUCAUAUUUUUAUUACAGUACGGAUUCAAUUUCACUUCAUUAGCUGAGUGAUUUGUCCACCAGGACACUAUAACACAAGCUUAAUACUUUCUAUACGGCUGUAGUCAUAUUCUUAAUCUUUUUUUUAUAAUACAUUAUUUCAGAGAUGAAGUUCAUGUUGCUGUUACUGUCUGAUAACAUUCACGCUGUCACAAGCUGGCAAAAGGGAAAGCAAAAGCAGCUCGCCAUUGACACAGUCAGAGACUUCAUUACUGCAAGCUUUGUAAAAAUUUGCAUCUCCUCAUCCCACUGUGACAUGCAAAUCAUUCGAUGAAUGACCACAGAAGUGAAAACCAAACUUCCAUCAACUGCUUUGUUUGAAAGCCGGAGUGAGAGGCAGCGCUGUGCAGUGAGGCCUUCGCUUUCAUUGAGAUAGUUCAUAACAGACAUCACAGGAGGAACGUACUGCAUGUAGUCUGCAGCAGCAACGUGAAGAGAGAUGUGAGAGAUGGGGAUUUCUCUGUUUGUACAGCAUCAUAUACUGGAGCCAUAAAUAAAAUGUAAGCUUCAUCAAAAUUUCAUAUUUCAGGCUUUACAAAGAGAAUGUUUUCAGCCCUUCAGGUUCCGGAAUAAAAACACAUCUGACUUCAUCCCGUAACGCAGCUUUUCAAAACUCCUUUGUGUAUCAAUUGCACCAACAACAUCAAGCUCAAAUCCUUUCAAAUCAUCCUCUUAUCCUGUGGUCAAAUGUAAGUACAUUUACUCAAGUACUGUACUUAAGUACAAAUGUUGAGGUACUUGAACUUUCUUUGAGUCUUUUCAUGCCACU